rnacentral:rRNA from 1 species
UACAGAGGUCUCAAGCGUUGUUCGGAUUCAUUGGGCGUAAAGGGUGCGUAGGUGGCGGGGUAAGUCAGGUGUGAAAUCUCGGAGCUCAACUCCGAAACUGCACUUGAUACUGCCUUGCUCGAGUACUGGAGAGGAGAUUGGGAAUUUACGGUGUAGCAGUGAAAUGCGUAGAUAUCGUAAGGAAGACCAGUGGCGAAGGCGAAUCUCUGGACAGUUACUGACACUGAGGCACGAAGGCCAGGGGAGCAAACGGG